GGGGGAUGCUGGGCACUCCUGGCUCAGGCAUAGCUCAAGAGCAUCCUUUGGCUGUUCGAGCUCAGUGGAUCAGGCUGUGCUGCACACAGGCUGAUGAGCUGCUAAUGGCAAAGUAUACCCAGCUGGGCUGAGUGCUGCCAGGGCAAGGUGACUGCUGCUGAAGCAAAAUGCUUCAUGGAAAUUGUUGUCAUUUUGCAGCAAGGAGGGCUGUGUGUGUCACCUACUGGCAAGGAAGAGGAAGGGUGACUGGAAGGUAAAGGUCUGUCUCUCCCUGGAUGGUGCAGCACUCCCAGUGCACACAGGUGGAAAUCGAUAUCAUCUCAGAAGGACAGUCCACAGCAUUGUUGAGACUGUUGAAGGAGAUGUUCCAGCUGCCACCAGGCCAUGGAGAUGUGCUUCUGUCCAGACAGGGGGCUGCAUCCACUCGAGGACUGCAAAUAGGUUACAUCCAACCCAGAGAACCUGUCGCAUUGAGAGAUGUGUUGUGUGAAGCUUCUGCAGACUUCUAUUCCAGCUUUGAAUUCCUAUAGCUUACAGCCAUGGCAGACCUGCUUGAAACAUGAGCAUCAGGCUGCUCUUUGGGGCACUGCCCCAAACCAUGUUUGUCUCCUUUUAAACUGCAGUGUGGAUCCUUUGAGGUUUUGAGAUUGACUCCUGGGAAGUGCUCCAUUGGCAAUGGGAAGCGUUUGGGAUGACUUAAAAUCACAGAAUGGUUUGGGUUGGAAGGGACCUUAAUGAUCAUCCUGUUCCAACCCCAUAGCCAAGGGCAGGGACACCUUCACUACACCAGGCUGCUCCUGAAGCUUCUCUGGGCAACCUGGGCUCCUCCAGUGGUGUCUCCCACUUGUGGGGUGACAUGGCCUUUGCUCGGCUGGACCUGGCAUUGCAGCCUUUUUGUGGUACCAUCCUUCCCA
rnacentral:lncRNA from 1 species